rnacentral:rRNA from 1 species
UACGGAGGGAGCUAGCGUUAUUCGGAAUUACUGGGCGUAAAGCGCACGUAGGCGGCUUUGUAAGUAAGAGGUGAAAGCCCAGAGCUCAACUCUGGAAUUGCCUUUAGACUGCAUCGCUUGAUCAUGGAGAGGUCAGUGGAAUUCCGAGUGUAGAGGUGAAAUUCGUAGAUAUUCGGAAGAACACCAGUGGCGAAGGCGGCUGACUGGACAUGUAUUGACGCUGAGGUGCGAAAGCGUGGGGAGCAAACAGG